ACGGUGAGAAACGGUAGGAUUUGCUUAUAGAGGGGACAAACCGGAGGAAAUCGGGCUAAUACCGCAUAAUACUUUACGGGAGGAAAUGCUGGGUAGCAAUACCUGGCGCUAUAAGAGGAGCUUGCGUCUGAUUAGCUAGUUGGUGGGGUAAAGGCCUACCAAGGCGAUGAUCGGUAGCUGGUCUGAGAGGAUGAUCAGCCACACUGGGACUGAGACACGGCCCAGACUCCUACGGGAGGCAGCAGUGGGGAAUAUUGGACAAUGGGGGCAACCCUGAUCCAGCAAUACCGCGUGUGUGAAGAAGGCCUUCGGGUUGUAAAGCACUUUAGUUGGGGAAGAAGACUAGUAUUUUAAGAGAUAACUAGUUUGACGGUACCCAAAGAAUAAGCACCGGCUAACUCUGUGCCAGCAGCCGCGGUAAUACAGAGGGUGCAAGCGUUAAUCGGAGUUACUGGGCGUAAAGGGUGCGUAGGUGGUUAUGUAAGUGAGAUGUGAAANCCCUGGGCUUAACCUAGGAACUGCANCUUAUACUGCAUAGCUUGAGUAUUGUAGAGGGUAGUGGAAUUUCCGGUGUAGCGGUGAAAUGCGUA
rnacentral:rRNA from 1 species